AAGUCGAGCGAACAGACGAGGAGCUUGCUUCUCUGACGUCAGCGGCGGACGGGUGAGUAACACGUGGAUAACCUACCUAUAAGACUGGGAUAACUUCGGGAAACCGGAGCUAAUACCGGAUAAUAUAUUGAACCGCAUGGUUCAAUAGUGAAAGACGGUUUUGCUGUCACUUAUAGAUGGAUCCGCGCCGCAUUAGCUAGUUGGUAAGGUAACGGCUUACCAAGGCAACGAUGCGUAGCCGACCUGAGAGGGUGAUCGGCCACACUGGAACUGAGACACGGUCCAGACUCCUACGGGAGGCAGCAGUAGGGAAUCUUCCGCAAUGGGCGAAAGCCUGACGGAGCAACGCCGCGUGAGUGAUGAAGGUCUUCGGAUCGUAAAACUCUGUUAUUAGGGAAGAACAAAUGUGUAAGUAACUAUGCACGUCUUGACGGUACCUAAUCAGAAAGCCACGGCUAACUACGUGCCAGCAGCCGCGGUAAUACGUAGGUGGCAAGCGUUAUCCGGAAUUAUUGGGCGUAAAGCGCGCGUAGGCGGUUUUUUAAGUCUGAUGUGAAAGCCCACGGCUCAACCGUGGAGGGUCAUUGGAAACUGGAAAACUUGAGUGCAGAAGAGGAAAGUGGAAUUCCAUGUGUAGCGGUGAGAUGCGCAGAGAUAUGGAGGAACACCAGUGGCGAAGGCGACUUUCUGGUCUGUAACUGACGCUGAUGUGCGAAAGCG
rnacentral:rRNA from 1 species